UUGCAGACCUCGGAAGGAAGCAGAGAUGAUCACAGCAUUGGCUGUCUCUUGGAGCUGAGAAGUGUGGGAUGAGGAGGAGGAUACAUCUUUUGGGUGAGGAGAGUUGACUGAGAUUGACGCAGAACCUGAGCAAGCGGAAAAACCAGGCACCAGCUCUCCAGGAAGGGAAGCUGACAAGGAAUUUUUGGGCCCUAAACCAAGGUGGAGCAAACCCACUACUGGAGACGAAGGCCAGUGCCUUCCACAAGAACUCUGAUGUCUGGACCAAGAGAGUUGCCACCCAGGAUUCACAAUGAGGAAUCCUCAAGAUGCCAAAGAGGUUUCAUGUUCCUGAGAGUUCUCUGGGAACUAAGAUGAGGAGAAUGACUAUUACCCCUUCUGUUUCACAUUUUGUCACAAGGCACCAAAGCAGUAUUUCUUAUAGCACCAUUGUCAUCCAGAAUCUCUAAUAAAAACAAAUCACUUCCUCUGUCUCCAUCCCACUCCCAUAAGAGCUGGAAUGUCACUAUGCACUUUGGCUUGGAAAUUAAUAUUUUAGGCUUACAGGUUCUUAGAAGACUUACUGAAUCCAUGGUCCACCGCAGCAUCA